CCUACGGGUGGCAGCAGUAAGGAAUAUUGGUCAAUGGACGAAAGUCUGAACCAGCCAUGCCGCGUGGAGGAUGAAGGUCCUCUGGAUUGUAAACUUCUUUUAUAUGGGACGAAAAAAGGCCUUUCCAGGUCGUCUGACGGUACCAUAUGAAUAAGCACCGGCUAACUCCGUGCCAGCAGCCGCGGUAAUACGGAGGGUGCAGGCGUUACCCGGAUUAACGGGGUCGUAGGGGGGCUGGGAAGUCAGUGGUGAAAUCCCCGGGCUUAACUUGGGAACUGCCAUUGAUACUAUCAGUCUUGAGUACCGUGGAGGUCAGCGGAAUAUGUCAUGUAGCGGUGAAAUGCUUAGAUAUGACAUAGAACACCAGUUGCGAAGGCAGCUGGCUACACGAGUAUUGACACUGAGGCACGAAAGCGUGGGGAUCAAACAGGAUUAGAUACCCCAGUAGUC
rnacentral:rRNA from 1 species